rnacentral:ncRNA from 15 species
CGACCCUAGGUCAGACGGGAUUACCCGCUGAGUUUAAGAAUAUCAAUUAGAGAAGAAAAAGAAACUUACAAGGAUUUAUUUAGUAACGGCGAGCGAUUUGGGAAUAGCCUAGCCUUAGAAUCGGGCGGCUCCAUCGUCCAAAUUGUAUUCUAGGGAAGCGUCCCCAACAGUAGACCGGGCCUAAGUCCCAUGGAAGGAGGCGCUAGAGCGGGUGAGAGUCCCGUUGUUCCCGGACCCUGUCGCACCAUGGGGCGCUGUCUACGAGUUGGGUUGUUUGGGAAUGCAGCCCAAAUUGGGCGGUGAAUUUUGUCCAAGGCUAAAUACAGGCGAGAGACUGAUAGCGAACAAGUAGCGCGAGGGAAAGAUGAAAAGGACUUUGAAAAGAGAGUCAAAGGGUGCUUGAAAUUGUCAAGAGGAAAGCGGAUGGGGGUCGGCGAUGCCCCCCGGUCAGAUGUAGAAUGGUGAUGAGUCGAUCCGCCAAUCGACUCGGGGCAUGGACUAGUGUGGAUUGGGGGCGGCCAAAGUCUGGGCUCUCGAUACGCCCGUGGAAUGUUGUCUCCUAGAUUGUUGCAGGUAGCGUGCGCCUCUGGCGUGCUUCGGCAUCUAUGCUCUCUGGACGCUGGCUUGUGGGCUCCCCAUUCGACCCAUCUUGAAACACGAACCAAGAAGUCUGACAUGUGUGCGAGUCAACAGGUGAGUAAACCUGUAAGGUGUAAGGAAGCUGAUUGGUUGGAUCCCCCUGGGGGGUGCACCGCCGAUCGACCUAGAUCUUCUGAGAAGGGUUCGAGUGUGAGCAUAUAUGUCGGGUCCCGAAAGAUGGUGAACUAUGCCUUAGCGGGACGAAGCCAAAAGAAACUCUGGUGGAGGCCCACCGCGAUACUGACGUGCAAAUCUUUCUUCUGACUUGGGUAUAGGGGCGAAAGACUAAUCGAACCAUCUAGUAGCUGGUUCCUUCUGAAGUUUCCCUCAGGAUAGCUGGAGCUCGCAUGCGAGUUCUAUCGGGUAAAGCCAAUGAUUAGAGGUUCGGGGGUGUAACGCCCUCGACCUAUUCUCAAACUUUAAAUAGGUAGGAUGGCGCGACUGCUUUGUUGAGCCACGCCACGAAAUCAAGAGCUCCAAGUGGGCCAUUUUUGGUAAGCAGAAUUGGCGAUGUGGGAUGAACCAGAAGCUGGGUUAUGGUGCCAAACUGCUCACUAACCUAGAUCCCACAAAGGGUAUUGGUCGAUUAAGACAGCAGGACGGUGGUCAUGGAAGUCAAAAUCCGCUAAGGAGUGUGUAAUAACUCACCUGCCGAAUCAACUAGCCUCGAAAAUGGAUGGCGCUUAAGCGCGCGAUCUACACCCGGCCGUGGGGCAAAUUCCAGGCCUUGAUGAGUAGGAGGGUGCGGCAGUCGCUGCAAAACCUUGGGCGUGAGCCUGGGCGGAGCGUCCAUCGGUGGUAAUAGCAAAUAUUCAAAUGAGAACUUUGAAGGCUGAAGAGAGGAAAUGUUCCAUGUGAACGACACUUGCACAUGGGUUAGUUGAUCCUAAGGGUCGAGGAAACCAUGACAGAUAGCGCAUUUUGCGCGUUCUUCAAAAGGGAAUCGGGUUAAAUCUCCUAAACCAGGACGUGGCAGUUGACGACAAUGUUAGGAAGUUUAGACACAUUAGCGGGAACCUCGGGAAGAUUUAUCUUUUCUUUUUAACAACCUGCCCGCACAAGAAUCGACUCAGCCGGAGGUAGGGUCCAACGGUUGCAAGAGCACCGCACAUCGCAUGGUUUCCGUUGCGCUCUCGGGUUCUUGAAAAUCCGAAGGACCUAAUGUCGUCCACGCCUGGUUGUACUCAUAACCACAUCAGGUCUCCAAGGUGAACAACCUAUGGUCGAUAGAACAAUGUAGGCAAAAGAAGUUAGCAAAAUGGAUCCGUAACUUCGGGAAAUGGAUUGGCUUUGAGGGCUGGGGACGGGGGUCCCAGUCCCAAACCCAUCGGCAGUCGAUGGACUGCUCGAGCUGAUCUCGUGAUGAGAACGGGUCACCGCGUGUCAACUAGGGGACGGUCUUGGAACGGUUCCUUCGGGGUUCUUUCCCGAGCAUCGAACAACCAACUCAGAACUGGUACAACCAAGGGGAAUUCGACUGUUUAAUUAAAACAAAGAAUUUCGAUGAUCCAAACAGAUGUUUACGCAAUGUGAUUUCUUCCCAGUGCUCUGAAUGUCAAAGUGAAGAAAUUCAACCAACCGCGGGUAAACGGCGGGAGUAACUAUGACUCCUUUAAAGUAGCCAAAUUCCUUGUCAUCUAAUUAGUGACGCGCAUGAAUGGAUUAACGAGAUCCCCAAUGUCCCUGUCUACUAUCCAGCGAAACCACAACCAAGGGCGUUGGCUUGGAAAAAUCAGCGGGGAAACAAGCCCCUGUUGAGAUUGACUCUAGUCCGACUUUGUGAAAUGACUUGAAGGUGUAGUAUAAGUGGGAGCCAAAAGGCGAAAGUGAAAUAUCACUACUUUUAAUGUUAUUUUACUUAUUCCGUGGAUCGGAAGCGGGGCACUACCCCUCUUUUUGGACCCAAGGAUCGCUUCACAGGCCGAUCCAGGAUGAAGACAUUUUUAGGUGGGGAGUUUGGAUGGAGCGGCACAUAAGUUAAAAGAUAACACAGGUGUCCUAAGAUGAGCUCAACAAGAACAGAAAAUCUUGUGUGGAACAGAAGGGUAAAAGCUCAUUUGAUUCUGAUUUCCAGUACUAACACGAAUUAUGAAAGUAUGGCCUAACGAUCCUUUAGACCUUUGGAAUUCGAAGCUAGAGGUGUCACAAAAUUUACCAAAGGGAUAACUGGCUUGUGUAAGCCAAGCGUUUAUAGCGAUGUUUCUUUUUUAUCCUUCGAUGUCGACUCUUCCUAUCAUUGUGAAGCAGAAUUCACCAAGUGUUGGAUUGUUCACCUACCAAUAGGGAACGUGAGCUGGGUUUAGACCGUCCUAAGACAAGUUAGUUUUACCCUACUGAUGACAGUGUUGCAAUAGCAAUUCAACCAAGUACUAGAGGAAGCAUUGGUUCACACAAUUGGCCAUCGCGCUUGGUUGAAAAACCAGUGGCGCGAAAUAUUACUUAUUAGUGAUGCAAAUCUCCUGCUUAUUUUUAUUGUUGUGGGAAUGAAAUUUUUCAAAAUAGUUUGAUCAAAUUACACGGUUUCUCUUGGAGAUUUGGCAGUUCAUUUUUCUAAUCUCUUAAACCCAUGGACAGAGCUUAUGUAUGGAUGAAUAAGAGUUUCAUCAGUUUCUGUGCGGAAGAACGUUGUAUUGGCACUUUCUCAGAUUAUAUUAAACGACAUGAUGAUCGAUUUUGGCUAGAUUAUCAAACAUUUAUGCAUACCUAAAGAUAGCAUUCUCAAACAGAGUUUGUUUUCUCUCUCUCUCUCUCUCUCUGUUAUUCUAUUAGUUGAGUCUAGACGAAACUUCUAAGCUAAAUGGUUUGUUGCCUUUUAUUUUCUUGGAUUAAUUUUCAUUUUGUGUUUUAAAUUUGUGUAGUCUCUCGCCGAGUUCUUUGCAGAUAACAAAAACAUUGUUGGUUUUGACAAUGUAAGUUUCUUUUCUUAUAUGUUUAGAAUGUCUUAUAAUUUCAAAUUUUU